CUUGUACUGGGAUGUACGAGGAGAAAGGAUUUAUUCGCUGAGGGAUGGGCCUGCGGCCUAUCAGGUAGUUGGUGGGGUAAAGGCCUACCAAGCCUGCGACGGGUAGCCGGACUGAGAGGUCGACCGGCCACACUGGAACUGAGACACGGUCCAGACUCCUACGGGAGGCAGCAGUGGGGAAUAUUGCACAAUGGGGGAAACCCUGAUGCAGCGACGCCGCGUGGAGGAUGACGGCCUUCGGGUUGUAAACUCCUUUUGUCAGGGACAAUGGUGAUGGUACCUGACGAAUAAGCCACGGCUAACUCUGUGCCAGCAGCCGCGGUAAGACAGAGGUGGCGAGCGUUGUUCGGAAUUACUGGGCUUAAAGGGCGCGUAGGCGGUGGUGUAAGUCUGGGGUGGAAUGCUACAGCUCAACUGUAGAGCUGCCUUGGAAACUGCAUUACUUGAGUCGGUGAGGGGAAGGCGGAAUUCCUGGUGUAGCGGUGAAAUGCGUAGAUAUCAGGAGGAAGGUCUGUGGCGAAGGCGGCCUUCUGGCACUUGACUGACGCUGAGGCGCGAAAGCGUGGGGAGCAAACAGGAUUAGAUACCCUGGUAGUCCACGCCCUAAACGGUGGGUAUUAGGUGUGGGGCCUUCAUGGGUUCCGUGCCGUAGCGAAAGCA
rnacentral:rRNA from 1 species